rnacentral:lncRNA from 1 species
CCAUGCUAUGCUCAAAAGGUCUAUAUCUUUUAAAAAGCUUUCAAAGCCAGUUUGGUAUAAUGUGGUAGAAUAUGCCUGGAGAUGUUAAUUUUGUUUUCACUGAAACAGUCUUUAAGAUAGAGAACUUGGAGAUUUCUUCACAGGGUACCAUUUUAAGUGGAAAACAGUGGAAAGACAGCUGAUUUCAGGCCAAGGUUGGAUUUUUCCAAACGCCUGCAUGAAAGCGUGUCCCAGAGGCCAGCAGCCUUGACAGAGGCGUGCAGCUGCACCACGGCCUCUCCCUGUGCGACGUAACAAGGCUCGGAGCCAAAAAGGGUCACAUAUGGCUACAUCCAGGUGCCAACUUUUUGUCACACGCCCGCUGCUUGCGUCGGGCAGGAGUGGGAGGAUGUCCUGUGUCAUUUUGCCGAUGCAGUUUGAGGGACUGCGGCCAAAAAAAAGGGGAAGGACGAGGGAGCAAAGUCACCAAGGCUCCAGGUAAGAGCUGUUUUCCCUGUUGUUCUUAGGGCACCGGGACCUGCUCUUCCCCCCGGCAUCAGUUUGCAGGGGGACAGCUCCGUGCGCGGUGAGGGACAGGGAUCCUGGGCAGGUGCGUCCCUCCGCUCUGGCUGCAGGGGACGGGGGUGUCCCAGCCGGGUCCCCUCUCCCGGCGGCAGCGCCAGCCCGAGCUGUUUUGGGGAAUGGUGCCCCACGCCCCCCGCGCUGCUCCCCGCCGGGACGGGCUGCGGGGACGGGCGGGCCGGCGGGGCGGGCACGGCAUCCCGGGACGGCAUCCCGGCACGGCACCCCGGGACGGCAUCCCGGCAAUGUGUCCCGGCACGAUCCCCCGCCGCCUCCCGCAGCCCCCGGCACGGCCGCGGCUCCCGGCGCAGCGCGAUCCGAGGGCAGGGAGCUCCAGCGCCGGGUGAGGGCGGCGGCGGCGGGCGGGGGAAGCCGGGGCCGGGCGGGGUUGGCUGCCGGGGCUGGAUCGGCCAGGCUGCCGGCAGGGAACAUCCCACAGGAGCGGUGGGGUGGCUCCUGCGCUCACAGAGCGUUCCCGGCGACGCGGAGUGCCCAGGAGGCUGUUUCUUUAAAAAGAUGUUUUCAAGAUUGAUUGGUAUCAGGUGUUCACUGCCAUGUGCUGCAGGUGUUACCAUGGUGACCACUCCACUCCUUCAGAUGUUGCUAUGA